GAUGACGGAUUGACGUCAAGGGUGACCAUGUCAUUUGCAUCAUAUGCAUGGAUUACAUUUAUUACUUGUGAUUGUUGCAUUUCUAUGAUUGCAUAUGAUUGGCAUGCAUACAGGAGACAUGAUGGGUUUGGUUUGACGACCUUUAUGUCAGGAUAGGAGGCCCAGGUUGAAGUCAUAAGAAGGUUCCAGUCGCUAGUCCCCACUAGGAGUCGAGAUGGUUAUCUAUUUUCGGACUUGUGUUUCCUUGUUAGUGAACUACAUUCUUGUGAUGUGUGUGUUUUGCACUCUUGGAUUUUAUAUCGUGAUUCGGGUAUGCUACCCAUGUUUUCCGUUGCGAAGGUUUUUCGUUGUAGUGGUGUAGGUUUUUAUUAAACUGCAUGAUUGUGAUUGUCAAUCGGAGGCUGUACUAUAUAAACUGCGUGGAUGUUUGUUUA